GACGAACGCUGGCGGCGUGCUUAACACUUGCAAGUCGAACGGUGAAGCGCCUUCCUUUUUGGUGGGUGUGGAUGAGUGGCGAACGGGUGAGUAACACGUGAGUAACCUGCCCCCUUCUUCUGGAUAACCGCAUGAAAGUGUGGCUAAUACGGGAGAUUCUGGGUCUGUCGCAUGAUGGGUCUGGGAAAGAUCUUGUUUCGGUGGGGGAUGGGCUCGCGGCCUAUCAGCUUGUUGGUGGGGUGAUGGCCUACCAAGGCGGUGACGGGUAGCCGGCCAGGGAGGGUGGGCGGUCCCACUGGGGCUGAACCGCGGCCACGCCUCCUACAGGAGGCAGCAGUGGGGAAUAUUGCACAGUGGGCACAAGCCUGAUGCAGCGACGCCGCGUGAGGGAUGGAGGCCUGCGGGUUGUGAACCUCUUUCGCCAGUGAAGCGGGCCUGCCUCGUUUGUGGGUGGGUUGACGGUAGCUGGAUAAGAAGCGCCGGCUAACUACGUG
rnacentral:rRNA from 1 species